rnacentral:rRNA from 1 species
UGACCUAUCAGCUUUCGACGGUAUGGUAUUGGCUUACCGUGGCAGUGACGGUUAACGGGGGAUUAGGGUUCGAUUCCGGAGAGGGAGCCUGAGAAACGGCUACCACAUCUAAGGAAGGCAGCAGGCGCGCAAAUUACCCAAUUCUAACAGUUUGAGAGAGGUAGUAACAAGAAAUAACAAUACAAGGCAGUUAAAAUGCUUUGUAAUUGGAAUGAUAGAAAUUUAAACCCUUUUUAAAGUAUCAAUUGGAGGGCAAGUCUGGUGCCAGCAGCCGCGGUAAUUCCAGCUCCAAUAGCGUAUAUUAAAAUUGUUGCAGUUAAAAAGCUCGUAGUUGAAGUUCUGCUAAAAGUAACCGGUCUGCUUUUAAUAAAAGUGGUAUCUUGGUAUGUAUUUAGCAAUGAUGUCCUUUGAAGUGUUUUUUACUUUAUUGUAAUAAAGCAUAUUCAGGACUUUUACUUUGAGAAAAUUAGAGUGUUUCUAGCAGGCCGACGCUUUGAAUACUGCAGCAUGGAAUAAUAAGAUAGGAUUUUAGUUCUACAUUGUUGGUUUUAAGAGCUAAAUUAAUGAUUGAUAGGGACAGUUGGGGGCAUUUGUAUUUAACUGUCAGAGGUGAAAUUCUUAGAUUUG